CUGCCCACUGAUAAUAGUGUUUUAAAGGGCCGCGGUAAUUUGACCGUGCAAAGGUAGCAUAAUCGUUAGUUUUUUAAUUGGAAUCUUGUAUGAAUGGUUUGACAAAAGAAAAUCUGUCUCUAUCUUUUUCUUUGAAUUUAACUUUUAAGUGAAAAGGCUUAAAUAGUUUAAAAAGACGAUAAGACCCUAUAAAGCUUUAUAAAUUGUUUGUUAUUAAGCUGAAUUGGUAAAUAAUAGUUUAGUAAGGGAAGUUUAUUUUAUUGGGGUGAUAGUGGUAAAAUGUUUAUUAACUGUUAAAAUUUUAAGACAAAUAUAGUUGAGUAAAGUUGUAUAAAUUGAUCCUGAAAUACAGAUUAAAAGUUUAAGUUACUUUAGGGAUAACAGCGUUAUUUUUUUUGAGAGUUCAUAUCGAAAAAAAAGUUUGCGACCUCGAUGUUGAAUUAAAAUGUCUG
rnacentral:rRNA from 1 species